CUACGGGUGGCAGCAGUGGGGAAUAUUGCACAAUGGGCGCAAGCCUGAUGCAGCCAUGCCGCGUGUAUGAAGAAGGCCUUCGGGUUGUAAAGUACUUUCAGCGGGGAGGAAGGGAGUAAAGUUAAUACCUUUGCUCAUUGACGUUACCCGCAGAAGAAGUACCGGCUAAGUCCGUGCCAGCAGCCGCGGUAAUACGGAGGGUGCAAGCGUUAAUCGGAAUUACUGGGCGUAAAGCGCACGCAGGCGGUUUGUUAAGUCAGAUGUGAAAUCCCCGGGCUCAACCUGGGAACUGCAUCUGAUACUGGCAAGCUUGAGUCUCGUAGAGGGGGGUAGAAUUCCAGGUGUAGCGGUGAAAUGCGUAGAGAUCUGGAGGAAUACCGGUGGCGAAGGCGGCCCCCUGGACGAAGACUGACGCUCAGGUGCGAAAGCGUGGGGAGCAAACAGGAUUAGAUACCCGUGUAGUC
rnacentral:rRNA from 1 species